GUAAGUUGGAUGAUAGAAAAGAAACUUCUCUCCGGGCUCUGUCCUAGUGGCGUAGGGGAGCAUAGGGUUCUACCCUGUGAUGUACAGUCCCUCACCACAGUGUUGGAGAUGAAGCUGGGCUUUGAGUCUACACCAGCAUAUUCCUACAACUUCUCAGAGUCCUGUGGAUGAUGACUGAGGAAGCAAACCAUGCAGGAAACAAAA